rnacentral:lncRNA from 1 species
GACUGUGUCAAGGCCUUACUCAAGUCCAGAUAGUUGACAUCAGUGGUUUGUCCAUUCUCCACUAAUGCAGUAUCCUUAGGGAAAACCCUGGUGACAGCUUUCAAGUGUACUUGGUUGGCUGAGGAAACUACUGCUGAAACCCAAGAGUCACCAUACUCCAGCAAACAAGCCAAGCUGUCUCUUGCAAAAAAGUUGGCAAGUGAUUCCAAGUAACUCCUUUAGAUUCACAUACUCUGCCAGGGCCCAAAGGAACUGAAUUGGCAGCACUUCUUAAUGCCAGAAACCAUCCUUUCUUCUCAUUCACCGCCUCUUCUCCUCUGGAAUGAAAUGAAGGUGCUUUAUCAGCUGGUAACACAGAAAUUCUGGGUAGCAGUUCAAAAAGAAGCCAGACAAGCACAUAUAUUCACAUGGAACGUCUUCACAAAGUGCAUCUGAGAAUUAGCUGGUGUAGUUUCCUUUUCACAGAACUCAGUAUCUCACAGAUUCCUUGGCACCUUUGUUUCAAUAUAUGCUUUUUCUUUCUUUGUUCAUUUGUUUUUGGUUUUCCCCUCUUUCUUCCUAAAGUGGAUAAUCUAUCUUGCAAUAGUUUAAACAGGACUGCCAAGAAUGUUACUCACAUUCAUAGCUGCUGUUUUCAUUCCUGAUCCAAAAGGGCGAACUGGGCCUGUUCUGCUUGCAUUUUAGUUGAGACUACCUUAAGUGUUCAUAGAACUAAAAAAUGAGAAGAAAAGUGAUUGAAUGCCCAACACUGUGAUGAUAAUGUUUAGUUAUGAGUCUGCAACUUCUUAAACGUUCCUAAAUGUGUCUAAUUCCUAUAAUGAGCUUCUUCAAUUUUUUUGUUAAUCAUUUCAAAUAUGGAUACACUCCAUGUGUACUAGAAUAAAUAUAUGUUUUUCUUUCUCAGCUCCGUGGGUUGUAGAUACAAUUGAGUAAGACACUUCUAUGUACUUCAUAGAUAAACACAGAGAACUCCUACUGCAUGUAAAAGAACUUGUAUGUUUAUUGAAGAAUGAACAGAUGUACUGAAAUGUGAAAGAGCUGUGCAAUAAUGAAGGAGUUGGGCUAACUGAUGGGCUUUUUGUUGCAAAGGAAGGACAUCAACACUACGUUAUAAUAGCAAAGCUAUUAACCUGGGCUGAGAGUGCUUUUGUUUUACUCAGAGCAAGAAAAGAAAAAGAAGAAUUAGGUGAGGCAGGCUAUAAAGAGGCCCAAUAAACAAAUAUUUUCAAUUACCUCAUACAAAUUAUGUAGCUUUGGUAACAGUUAAGCCACUUAGCCAUGGAUAAAAAAGGUGUGCGAGGGCCCUCACAGAGCGAAAACGUCUGUUAAUUCUGAGGGCUGGUAAAGGAUCUUUCCGUUUAAAUCAACACAAACAAACAAAUGGCUUUUAGUGUUCCCCCUACUGAUAUUUAUUUUACAUCUUUAUGGUGAUACAUAGACUACAUGGAUGAAAUUACACUACAAAAUUCUUCUGUGCAGCUCUCUAUUUUAUUUUUUUUUUUUGCUUCUAGUCUGGCUAUCAACAUUUCAUGUAGAAAAACAACGGCCACGUUGCCCCAAGCUCUACCUGCUGUGCAAACAGCCAGUCCUCCUCCCCCUCUGCUGUCACUCCUGCUGAGGCUAACAGGAACCAUGUGUCAUCCGAGCUCUAUUUACACUCCCUGAUCCUCCUGAGAAGAUCUGCCUGUCUCUGCAAAUCUGUUAGCUGAUUGUCUCCCACCAUUACCUACUGACAAUGUCUAAUACAUUUUCUUACCUUGCCUUCUUAAUAUUCAUAUACACCGAAAAUGUAGUCUCCACUAAGUGCAGCUGGUGAUAUAGCAGAUGGAUAAAACAAAUAUAUAUAGAU